rnacentral:lncRNA from 1 species
GCCAAACGAAAAAAUCUAUAAUCACCCGAGGAAAACCAGAAGUGCCAUGGACAGUCGCUGUAAAUGGCGAGAUCCGGUGAAAAACCUUGGCGAUUAUGAAUGCCGGAUACCGGAAACCCCGGGGGAACCCUCAUGCAUUUAUAACCGGAAUAUUGUAUAAUAUGUAUCAUACCUACAAAUUACCUACCAUCGUUGUGAAACAAAGAAUGAAUAAAAUCUUGAAAAAAAAACCCCCAAAAAUGAAAAAUUCUUGCAAAAAAAUUGAACCUCAAAAAAGUUCUUAAAAAACCCCAGCAUUGUAGACCACCCGAAAAUUCAGUCUACAAUUUUCGCAAGACAAAUAUCCCUUUCUGGUGCAAACUGCUGCACCUAUAAGGUAUAUUUGUCUUAGCCUUGAAAUCUGAAAAUAUUUAAAAUAUGUUCAGGACAAGGCGCGUGGCAAAUGGAUCCAAUGGUCCAACAUAUUUUACGGCGGUUUGCAACUGUAAAAGCUGUUAUGACACCUGGAUGCAUUUUUAUUAUGCGACGUGUGCAUUUCUAUAUUUUGGUUUUAAUUAACGGAACGCAUCAUUUCGCUAUUAUUGCGCGCAUAAAUGCCAACGCGCGCACUUCAUUCUAAUGAGUAGCAUGCACUGAAUUUCACGUGCCCCUACUUUUACCUAGCAUGCAACUUAGCGCGUUUAAUUUUAAGCAUGAAAUUUCGCGCCCUUAAUUCUAAUCAACAUGCACCUUAAUUUAUUUUGAAUUAUCCAGAGCACACGUCACUACUUGCGCAUGAAGUACACUCAUCGACUGUACUCCGCAUUGCAGCAGCACGCGCGGCGCGGCUUAUGUUAAUUAGCUGCGUUCGACCAAGCUUAUGUUUGAACAUAGCAAAACAACGCGAAUGCAACAUGGCAAACAUUCAACAUUGCAAUAAGGACCAUACA